GCACUGUUGAGAAGUCCCAUAAUAGGACGAAACGGUCGUCCAGUGC
rfam:Schistosoma rodhaini strain Burundi genome assembly, scaffold: SROB_scaffold0002902